UGGGGAAUAUUGGACAAUGGGGGCAACCCUGAUCCAGCAAUGCCGCGUGUGUGAAGAAGGUUUUCGGAUUGUAAAGCACUUUCGACGGGGACGAUGAUGACGGUACCCGUAGAAGAAGCCCCGGCUAACUUCGUGCCAGCAGCCGCGGUAAUACGAAGGGGGCUAGCGUUGCUCGGAAUGACUGGGCGUAAAGGGCGUGUAGGCGGUUUGUACAGUCAGAUGUGAAAUCCCCGGGCUUAACCUGGGAGCUGCAUUUGAUACGUGCAGACCAGAGUGUGAGAGAGGGUUGUGGAAUUCCCAGUGUAGAGGUG
rnacentral:rRNA from 1 species